CUUCCCAGCCAUUCUUUCUUUCCCGAGCAUCCAUCUCAUCCUCAAAUCGCAUCUCCGGCAGCAGCACCGUCGAGGGCCACCACCUCUGCGCGCCCCGCGCACUCGGAGCUUCUCAGCCGCUUCCCAUCCAUUUUAUGCCGCCGUCGGCUUUCUCCGGCGAACUCAUCCCCUUCUCUCCUUACAAGUCAUGCCCAACCCACUAUUCCACUCCUCCGUGUCAGCAGUGGAGGGGGUUGGUUGCCCAAAGCGACUGGAGACAGGGGGCUGUGCGUGCACGCGAUGGGCGGCGAGCUCUCCAGCUUCAACCUCGAAAAAAAAAGCUUCAACCAGAGAGGAUGGGGAAAAGCUUGGACUGGCAUGGAAAAAAGCUUCAGUCCGACGCGCGCGAGUGCGUGAUGCCAGCGAGCUGCGGUCGGCGGGGCAGGUUGAUGUUGCGACAAGCAUGCUAUGAAGGAGGCGAUUAGUUGCUGCAACGGCAGAGGCAUCCGAUGUGCUAUGAGACAGCCCUCUUUCUGCAUGAUGGCGGCUGGUUGCAGCGACGACGCCCGUUGGAUCCGGCGAGGCCGAGUGCUGCGAGGACGGCGAGCCGGCGUGGCUUCAAAGUCAGCGGCAGGGGCGGCCAUGGCAGGCUGCGUGAGUGAGGCGGGAUGUGCUGGAGAUUUUCGUUUUUCUUUUUUUCCGCAUGAUGUAUCAGAGGAGGAUGAAGAAAGGGGGCCAGAUCUGACGGUACAGGAAACUGCAAUCGAACGGGUACGCGCUGACCGGCCCAAUUUUGAGCCGGUGCGCCGGCGCCUAUCACUUGCCAAAACGAAAUGGAAAUAAAUAUGCGCGUUGCUGGUGCA